GCCUUCGUGGUGUAGUGAUCAGCACGCUUGGCGCGUAAUCGAGAGGUCAGUGGUUCGAUUCCGGGCGAGGGCA
rnacentral:tRNA from 1 species